rnacentral:rRNA from 1 species
GAAGAAGUGGGUCUAGCUAUAAUGCAGUCGAGCGGACAGAUGGGAGCUUGCUCCCUGAUGUUAGCGGCGGACGGGUGAGUAACACGUGGGUAACCUGCCUGUAAGACUGGGAUAACUCCGGGAAACCGGGGCUAAUACCGGAUGGUUGUUUGAACCGCAUGGUUCAAACAUAAAAGGUGGCUUCGGCUACCACUUACAGAUGGACCCGCGGCGCAUUAGCUAGUUGGUGAGGUAACGGCUCACCAAGGCAACGAUGCGUAGCCGACCUGAGAGGGUGAUCGGCCACACUGGGACUGAGACACGGCCCAGACUCCUACGGGAGGCAGCAGUAGGGAAUCUUCCGCAAUGGACGAAAGUCUGACGGAGCAACGCCGCGUGAGUGAUGAAGGUUUUCGGAUCGUAAAGCUCUGUUGUUAGGGAAGAACAAGUACCGUUCGAAUAGGGUGGUACCUUGACGGUACCUAACCAGAAAGCCACGGCUAACUACGUGCCAGCAGCCGCGGUAAUACGUAGGUGGCAAGCGUUGUCCGGAAUUAUUGGGCGUAAAGGGCUCGCAGGCGGUUUCUUAAGUCUGAUGUGAAAGCCCCCGGCUCAACCGGGGAGGGUCAUUGGAAACUGGGGAACUUGAGUGCAGAAGAGGAGAGUGAAAUUCCACGUGUAGCGGUGAAAUGCGUAGAGAUGUGGAGGAACACAGUGGCGAAGGCGACUCUCUGGUCUGUACUGACGCUGAGAACUAAAGCGUGGGAGCGCACAGGAUUACAUACCCUGUAGCCCAGCCGUAAACGUUGAGUCGCUAGUGUUGCGAGAUUUCGCUCCCUUAUGGUGCAGCU